GGUAUUAAUAUUAAAAUUUAUUUUCUAUCAAUUAUAAAUAUAAUAUGAUUAUUAAUGCUAAACUGAUGGGUGAAAAUUUAUCAUUUGUGUUGCAGCUUGUGUGAAAAUUAUCAUCCAAAAUUGGUUAUUUGAAAGCUAAAUAAUUGGAUAAUUACAAUCUGAUUAUAUAAUAAGUAAGAUUUUGGUUUUUGUAUAUAUUGAAGAAAUACGACUACUCCUCUGAUCCAAUAAGCAUGCUAACUAUCUCCACUAUUCCCCGGAAGCAUGCAAUCAUACCAUCAGCUUGUUCCACUUGAAGUUGUCUGAAGUAAGAAAAUCCAAAAGAAGAAAUUGUAAAAAAAGGACAUUCUUAUUUAACUAAGAUAUUGCCAUUUGUCCUGUGAAAUAUAUAUAAAAUUAAAGCAGAAAGAAAUUUUUUUUCAUAGUGGAAUAACAUAAAGAUUAUGACAGAAGAUGAAAGGUGGCACCUUUAGAUCUACAGGUGUUCCAUGAAGUGAAUAUGAAAAUAGCAGACUCAAUCUGGUUUUCCAUCUAAUGAAGUAAAAAGAUAUAAACUUUAUCAUAAGCCCAAAGGUUUAAAAGAAUUAGUUAACAGGUAUUCGUUUAAUGUACCUUAUUUGGUAGACUGAAGUAUUUUUUCGUUUGGAAUCCGGAAUGGAAUCCGUCAAUGAAUCUUGUAUUCCAAAAUUACCCUUUAUCACUGAAAAAGGCUGGAAUACCGAGGAUUGCUUCUGGAACCUUCUUUCUAUAGCUUUUGGAACCUUUCUGCGACCUGUAUCAAUAUGCCACGUCCUAUUUACCAUAUAUUAUUAUAAUACUGCCACUGUUGGGAUCAACUGGCCCAAAUGUCCAAGCAUCUUAAUGAUUACUCAAGAUUGCAAAUCUAAUGACAAGCUUUACACACAGUUAAACUUCUCACUUUGGUUUCUUUCUACUUUGGAUUUUGUUUUCUUAUUUGGACAUCAUAUUACAAAUUAACACGCUUUAAUCUUUAUGCAAAGAAGUAGUUAAAGUACAUAACUAUUAGAGUUUACCUAUCAGGUUCCUCCAGUCCUUUAAUUAUCCCUAUCACAUUCUGAAUCGUUCUUAUCACUUGUUUUUCCUGCAACAUCAAGGACCAAAAACAUUAGAAACGAAAGCACAAAGACCCCAUCCAAAAAAAUACACAAAAAGAGUAACUUUACCUUCUAAGUGAGCUCUAUAAUCCCUAAACCCUGUAAAAUUGUAUAAACCGCAGCAUCUUUGUCACCCUAUCACUCCUCAUCAACCACCACUCCAUCCAUACACCUUAAAAUGUCCUCUAACCCUGCAAAAAAGUACAAAAAUAAGUAUUCAUAAAAGCUUCAUACAAAGUUUAAAUCUACAGGAAGGUCUUCAUUCCUGGAUGAAUUAGGAAAAGGAAAAAAGCUAUAAACAAUUCUAACGACAAGAAUUCUAACAUAUGAAUUGUACCUGAUGACAAAAAGUCAAGCAAAAAUGCAAAAUACAACAUUUUCACUACAUACCUUAUGCCCCCUCUACAUAAGUCUUGGAAUUUCAGUUUCAAAAUCUAGAACCAAAAAUUGAUAAUUGUAAGAAUAUGUAAACCUCCAUAACAAACUUUUACAAAAAUUGUUACCUAAAUAACGAAAAAUGAAACCCACCCAGUAAACCUAGCCACAACUCAAUAAGUCAGAAUUCCAAAAAAAAGGCUCCUUCCAAAACUAAAUCAUUAAAAAACAGAAAACAAAUUAUAGGGCAGAUAAUGAAAGUCCAAAUAGAUGAUCGACCUUUGGUAAAUCGAUAGAGAAGUGUGGAAUAGAAGAUAGGGAAUAAGCACUUAUCGAUGGAAGCCGGCUGUCAAGCCCCUUCAAAAUCUUUGAUACCUGCGAAUGAAACAAACAAAUAAAUAGGGAAAAAUCUUUGAAACCUUUAAAAUCUCAAGGUUCAAUCAGCGAGCAUAAGUUAAUCCGAUUAAGCGACACAGACCUGUAAUUCGGCGAUUGAAGCGACGGGUGCGAGUAAAGGUGUCAGUGAGGGAAAUCGCGAUUGAAGUGGGUUUCUUUGAGUCGGUCUUCUUCCGACGCUCUCUUCGAUAUGAAAUUGGCAACAAAUAAAAUCGAGAGGAGGAGAAAGAUGACGGAAUGAUGGACGAAAGAUAGUGAAACACGUACUGAGGAACUUUGGGAUCAAUUUUUUGGUCGGUUUUGUGAAGAGGAACUUUGGGAUCGAUUUUAUGGUCGAUUUUGUUAAGACAUUGUACCUAAGAGAUGAUUCCAAUGAGAAUCAUUUUCCCGUAACUGCUAGCAAUGACGGUGGAAGAUAUAUAUCGGGCGAGAAAGGCGGUGACGAACACAACAUGAACACGUUGCAGAGAUUAAAGCCAAAACCAGC
rnacentral:lncRNA from 1 species